AUGGAUUUCCUUGUCCCUCCUGGUGCUCUGUGGCCUGUCUGGUUUCUUGCAAGUUCUCUAACCUACAGAGGUUUAUCGACUUUGAGAGAAGAGUAUGCUUUGGGUACUGGCCUUUGUGAAUGCAUCAUCCUCUCCGCAAUCCGAGCAGGGCUUCACCAGGUCACAAGGGAAACACUAACUGUGGACAUUCGGGAAGGGUCGUACUUCGUCAUGGGGGCUGUCUUGUGCAUUGGGGAUGCUUGGGAGCAUCCCUGGCCUCCAUCUACCAGAGGCUGGUAGCACCCCUCACCCUCCUCAACAGGUUGUGGUGACUAAAAAUGUCUCCAGCCAUUGCCAAAUGUCCCCUGGGGAGCAGAAUUGCCUGGUGAGAAUGACUUCAGUUAGAGCAUUAUGUUAAUUCUCACCCACCAUCCAUUUGCAUGUCUGUGAGCAUGAAUCACGCUACAGGAGCACUCCCCAGUCUUGGGUGAAUGGAGAAACUCGGCAUUCUGAAAUUGCACAAUAUUAGUCUGUUCUCGCAUUGCUAUAAAAAAUACCUGAGACUGGAUAAUUUAUAGAGAAAAGAGGUUUAAUUGGCUCAUGGUUCCUCAGGCUGUACAGGAAGCAUGAUACUGGCAUCUUCUCAGUUUCUGGGGAAGCCUCGGGAAACUUACAAUCGUGGUGGAAGGUGAAGGGGGAGUAGGCAUGUCACACGUCACAUGGCAAAAGCAGGAGCACUUUUAAAUGACCAGAUUUUGCAAGAACUCACUCACUGUCAUGAGGAUAGCACUAACGGAAUGGCACUAAACCAUUCGUGAGAAAUCCACCCCCAUAAUGCAAUCACCUCUCACCAGGCCCCACCUCCAACAUUGGGGGAUUACAAUUCAAUAUGAGAUUUGGGCAAGGACAGAUCUAAACCCCAUCACAUAGGAAGCUGAAACUUAGUGACUGAAUCUCAGGGUACCUGGAUCAGUCAGUACCCCAGGAGGAACCAGAGGCCCACUGGGACUGGGCAACUGAGAUGAGCCUAAGGAUGAUCAAGAUAGUGCCAGCGGAGUUGAGGGCAUCAACAAGGAAUGAUGCGGCGUGCUGGGCCCAGCCCAGCUGGAAAUGAUUGUCAUCCCCGCACCUGCAGGAGCAGGUGAGUAAGCAGUUUCCCGAACCUGGAAUGUUGUAUGGAAAGGCUGCCCAAGCCAAGCUAUAGCCCUUAGGACAAGGACACAGCCUUCUGGAGCAACCUGGCAUGGAGUGCCAGGGAGAAAUGACUCCUUUCAUACUUUUCCUCCCUCCUUCCUGUUUUUUGCUGUCUUCCUCCAUUGGCCAAGGUCAUAGAAAGCCAAAAGACUAAAGAGUGGUGAAUGUGGAAUAUUGGCUCUCAUUCUAGAUCAGUUUUCUCCAAAUUACUCACAAGCCAUCCCAGCAUCAUUUAUUAUAUGAUUCUUCUCCCCAAAUGGAGUGCUUAUUUAUUGUAUAUUGAAUUGUUACAUAGAAGUCUUAUUUUUGUUGAUUCUGUUAUGCUACCCUAUAUACCUUUAAAAAAACUAGCUCCUCAUUAUUUCAAUUAUUUGCUUUAUGACAUGGUUUAAUAUCUAAUGGAGCUAGUUGGACUAAUUUUGCUGCCAAACUACAAUUUCCCAUUUCCCCUUCCUCCUUCUUCAUUUAUUUUCCCAUUGUGUGUCUUAAAUGACUAACAGCCAAAACCUUUCUGAUUGCAGUGGGCAGAUUGCCUGAACCUUACUAUGAAUUUAGUACUCUUUAACACUUAUCCAAGUUUUCUUUGAUUUGCUUUCCUUUUCAUUAAAAACAAAAAAUUCUUGAAAAUUAUUCCUCUGCAUGUUUGCUGAAUGGUUUAUUUCACCUUGGAUGUAUGCAUUUAUUUCUUUUCCAAAUGGAAAAUUCUAUAAAAUUAAUAAACAAGCACACCACACCGCUCCUUGUUUUAGA
rnacentral:lncRNA from 1 species